rnacentral:rRNA from 1 species
GCAAGGAUGCUGGCGUAAUGGUCANCAGCGACCCGUCUUGAAACACGGACCGAGGAGUCGUCUUCGUAUGCGAGUGUUCGGGUGGAAAACCCCUACGCGGAAUGAAAGUGAACGCAGGUGAGAGCUCCGGCGCAUCACCGACCGAUCCUGAUGUUCUCGGAUGGAUUUGAGUAGGAGCAUACGGGGCCGGACCCGAAAGAAGGUGAACUAUGCCUGUGUAGGGUGAAGCCAGAGGAAACUCUGGUGGAGGCUCGCAGCGGUUCUGACGUGCAAAUCGAUCGUCAAACAUGGGCAUGGG